CCAGAAAGUAUAUUAAUACUUUCUUUGUCUGAAGAUUAGUGGUCUCUGCACUACACCAUCCUGUCUUCCCCAAAAGCUCAAACUGGAUGCACAUAUCUCAGUGUACAAACUCAGGCAUUGCAACAGGGCCUGCCGUCCAGGGCCCCCCUGCUUGAGACAGGGGGGAGUAAGUAGGGGAAUACCAAGAGAAAAACCC